rnacentral:rRNA from 1 species
UAGAGUUUGAUCCUGGCUCAGGACGAACGCUGGCGGCGUGCUUAACACAUGCAAGUCGAGCGGAAAGGCCCUUCGGGGUACUCGAGCGGCGAACGGGUGAGUAACACGUGAGCAACCUGCCCUUAGCUCUGGGAUAGCUCCGGGAAACCGGAAUUAAUACCGGAUAUGACCUAGGCCGACAUCGGCCGUGGUGGAAAGUUUUUCGGCUAGGGAUGAACUCGCGGCCUAUCAGCUAGUUGGGGGGGUAAUGGCCCACCAAGGCGACGACGGGUAGCUGGUCUGAGAGGAUGGCCAGCCACAUUGGGACUGAGAGACGGCCCAGACUCCUACGGGAGGCAGCAGUGGGGAAUUUUGGACAAUGGGGGCAACCCUGAUCCAGCAAUGCCGCGUGUGUGAAGAAGGCCUUCGGGUUGUAAAGCACUUUUGUCCGGAAAGAAAACUUCUGGGUUAAUACCCUGGGAGGCUGACGGUACCGGAAGAAUAAGCACCGGCUAACUACGUGCCAGCAGCCGCGGUAGCCCAAUCGC